rnacentral:misc_RNA from 1 species
GAGAAUUUUAGUGUUACUUUUCGAACACAGGUGCCAAAGAUGCCUUUAUGAUGGUAAACAAAAUAUAAAUACUAGAUCUUCAACUACCAAAAUAAUCCAACAAAAUAAAAAGAGAAAAGAUGAUAAUAUGAUGCAUAAUUGACAAAUUAUUUUAUCCACCCGGGGACAGAAAAGUUAAGGCAGCUUGAUUGAAGAGGAGAGGAGGGGAAGGGGGACCGGGAAGACAAACAGGAGCAAGGUUGCUUUUCUACCCAACGUUUCAUGUACCUUCUUUUCCCACUCCGUUUGCUCAUGUUUGCCUCACUCGUAUAGAAUUAAAAUUUCUUCUCUCAAUCCUCCAAGUAUAGUUUCCUCUGCCGUUCACUGUCACAACUUGUUAUCUCUCUCUUGACUUUAUCUUUUAUUUCCUUGCCAAAUAUCUACCAG